AUUGAACGCUGGCGGCAUGCUUUACACAUGCAAGUCGGACGGUAACAGGGUGCUUGCACCGCUGACGAGUGGCGAACGGGUGAGUAAUGCGUCGGAACGUGCCGAGUAGUGGGGGAUAACGCAGCGAAAGUUGUGCUAAUACCGCAUACGUACUGAGGUAGAAAGUGGGGGACCUUCGGGCCUCACGCUAUUCGAGCGGCCGACGUCUGAUUAGCUAGUAGGUGAGGUAAAGGCUCACCUAGGCGACGAUCAGUAGCGGGUCUGAGAGGAUGAUCCGCCACAAUGGGACUGAGACACGGCCCAGACUCCUACGAGAGGCAGCAGUGGGGAAUUUUGGACAAAGGGCGAAAGCCUGAUCCAGCCAUGCCGCGUGUCUGAAGAAGGCCUUCGGGUUGUAAAGGACUUUUGUCAGGGAGGAAAUUCCUAGUGCUAAUAACACUGGGGGAUGACAGUACCUGAAGAAUAAGCACCGGCUAACUACGUGCCAGCCGCCGCCGUAA
rnacentral:rRNA from 1 species